CAACGAGAGACUCGGUGAAAUCAUAGUACCGGUGAAGAUGCCGGUUACCCGCGACAGGACGGAAAGACCCCGUGGAGCUUUACUGUAGCCUGAUAUUGAAAUUCGGUACAGUUUGUACAGGAUAGGUAGGAGCCUUAGAAGCGUGAGCGCUAGCUUACGUGGAGGCAUUGGUGGGAUACUACCCUAAUUGUAUUGGAUUUCUAACCCGCAGCACUUAUCGUGCUGGGAGACAGUGUCAGGCGGGCAGUUUGACUGGGGCGGUCGCCUCCUAAAGAGUAACGGAGGCGCUCAAAGGUUCCCUCAGAAUGGUUGGAAAUCAUUCAUAGAGUGUAAAGGCAUAAGGGAGCUUGACUGCGAGACCUACAAGUCGAGCAGGGUCGAAAGACGGACUUAGUGAUCCGGUGGUUCCGCAUGGAAGGGCCAUCGCUCAACGGAUAAAAGCUACCCCGGGGAUAACAGGCUUAUCUCCCCCAAGAGUUCACAUCGACGGGGAGGUUUGGCACCUCGAUGUCGGCUCAUCGCAUCCUGGGGCUGUAGUCGGUCCCAAGGGUUGGGCUGUUCGCCCAUUAAAGCGGUACGCGAGCUGGGUUCAGAACGUCGUGAGACAGUUCGGUCCCUAUCCGUCGUGGGCGUAGGAAAUUUGAGAGGAGCUGUCCUUAGUACGAGAGGACCGGGAUGGACAUACCUCUGGUGUACCAGUUGUCGUGCCAACGGCAUAGCUGGGUAGCUAUGUAUGGACGGGAUAAGUGCUGAAAGCAUCUAAGCAUGAAGCCCCCCUCGAGAUGAGAUUUCCCAACUUCGGUUAUAAGAUCCCUCAAAGAUGAUGAGGUGAAUAGGUUCGAGGUGGAAGCGUAGUGAUACGUGGAGCUGACGAAUACUAAUCGAUCGAAGACUUAAUCAACAU
rnacentral:rRNA from 1 species